GUGGGGAAUAUUGGACAAUGGGCGAAAGCCUGAUCCAGCCAUGCCGCGUGUGUGAAGAAGGUCUUCGGAUUGUAAAGCACUUUAAGUUGGGAGGAAGGGCAGUAAGUUAAUACCUUGCUGUUUUGACGUUACCGACAGAAUAAGCACCGGCUAACUCUGUGCCAGCAGCCGCGGUAAUACAGAGGGUGCAAGCGUUAAUCGGAAUUACUGGGCGUAAAGCGCGCGUAGGUGGUUCGUUAAGUUGGAUGUGAAAGCCCCGGGCUCAACCUGGGAACUGCAUCCAAAACUGGCGAGCUAGAGUACGGUAGAGGGUGGUGGAAUUUCCUGUGUAGCGGUGAAAUGCGUAGAUAUAGGAAGGAACACCAGUGGCGAAGGCGACCACCUGGACUGAUACUGACACUGAGGUGCGAAAGCGUGGGGAGCAAACAGGAUUAGAAACCCCGGUAGUCC
rnacentral:rRNA from 1 species